rnacentral:sRNA from 1 species
GAUCAGGAAGCAGCCAUUCCCAGAGACGGACAGACAGACGGACGAAGGGAGAGGGAAAUCAGAGCCCUUUCCCAGACCUGGUAGGAACCACCCCUCACUUUGAACAGGGCCACAGGAGUCCAGCCCACUAGGCCCCUGGGGACAGGUGUCCUGCCCAACUGGAGAAUCUCCCCAAGGGCUGAGCUGGGAAACACCUGUCACUCAACCAGGAGAUUUACUGCAACUUCAAGUCCAGCUUGUUAGAAUGUAGAAGACUGUCUACUCCCCAGGUAUGGAGCCCAGGCCCCGAGGCAGGACGUCCUGGAAGGCUGGGGCUCUGCAAGUCCCCGUGUGCUUGCUGGCGCUUGUUCUGAGGUCGCUCUGAAGGCCCAGUGCUUUGCAUGCACCUUGGUCUCUAGCUGGAAAGAUGAGCCGGGAAGGCCUGGAUUUGAUCUAGGGUGCCAUCUUUGUCACCCAUCCUGAGCAAACCCAGGCAUUGCAUGCUGGGAGGAGGCAGACUGGACUCCCGUACUGCUUUCAGCUCCAAAGGUCACAAGGUACUUCCACUGCUGGAGCUUGACCCUUGCCUUGCUUGUCGUGUAGGUGAGUCUCAGACCCUUCUCUCUCUAGUCGUUUCAUCUAGAGGCCACCUGGCAGCCAUGCCCCCUCAGUACCAUCUCCUUCUUGCCUGAAAAAGUAAGAAGUACUUCCGGUUAGGGGGGAGCAGCUGCAAAUGAGGCCGGGGGAGGAGAAAGAGAAGCUGGGGUCCCCAGAGCUCUUUGGAUCCCACACAGCUUCCUCCGGGAGAGACCCCGGGGCAGGAGUUGUCCUUUCUCUCAGGGAUAUGUGUGGUAGCCUAAUUACUUUGUGUUUGUGGAGCUGUGUGAGAAAGUUGGAAGUGAAAGUUCGGCAGUGAGCACUGGGCAGGGUGUGCAGAUGUCCUGGGCGUGUCCGUAAGGGGUCAUUUUGAGUGUUUUCUUGCAUGAAUAUUUAUUGUCUGUGAAGGAUCAGGCACUGGGUCACAUUGGGCUUGGUAGCACCCCAAGUGAAGAACUGGCAAGAUUGUUGGAAGGGGGAAGAGGGGUUUGGAGUUAUUUUUGCAGCGGUCAACAGGGAAGGUGUGUAACAGUGGGCAUGUGAGCACUGUGGGUUUGCUGGGAAGGAAUUGAUGUGUGUCUGUCUCUAUAGCUGUCCUAUGUGGUGUGCACAUGUGUGUAAGUGAAUGAGUGUAGGGAUGGUGUCAAGUCUGGUAUCUAUGGGAAAGGAGUCUUUAAAAAAAAAAAAACUAAUGUAAGUGUCAAAGAAAUGGCCACAAAUGGGCCUGGGGUGGGCCAGAGGGAGGAAGACCCAUGCCUAACAGGAAUUCUGCAGAGAAAGCCAAGUGGCCGAGAAGCAUGUAAAAGGGUGUGUAAGAUGGUGAGGUCAUUGUGCUGCAGUCAGCAAGGUAGAGUUGUCCCCUCUGUCUCAGCAAAGGGACCAGGAAAGAUUCCCUUCCAGCAGGCAGGAGCUGUCAGUGAUGUGGGGACUCAGAGACACAGAGAAGGGCACUGUGGCCUGUGACGGGCUUGGGUGGGGGUGGCAGUCUCUAGUACCUAGAUUGGAAAAGAAGGGCUUGAAGAGGGCAGACUGUUCCAGUCAUAAGACAAUGACUCUUCCUCAGCCUUGGGGGUGCGGAUUCCAGGCCAGCCCCAUAAGCCCUUACCCAAUCCUAAAA